UACGGGGGGGGCAAGCGUUGUUCGGAAUUACUGGGCGUAAAGGGCGCGUAGGCGGUUCGCUAAGUUGGAUGUGAAAACUCUGGGCUCAACCCAGAGCCUGCAUCCAAAAACUGGCGGGCUAGAGUUCUGGAGGGGGUAGCGGAAUUCCUGGUGUAGCGGUGAAAUGCGUAGAUAUCAGGAGGAACACCGGUGGCGAAGGCGGCUACCUGGACAGAAACUGACGCUGAGGCGCGAAAGCUAGGGGGAGCAAACAGG
rnacentral:rRNA from 1 species